rnacentral:rRNA from 1 species
CCAAUAGCGUAUAUUAAAGUUGUUGCAGUUAAAAAGCUCGUAGUUGAAUUUCGGGAUCAAUAUAUCUGUCGUUCCCUUUGUACGUACUGGUAUCAUUGGUUUCUCCUUUCUGACGAACCAUGAUGUCAUUAAUUUGGUGUUAUGGGAAGUUAGGACUUUUACUUUGAAAAAAUUAGAGUGUUUAAAGCAGGCUUUAGCUUGAAUACAUUAGCAUGGAAUAACGAAAUAGGACGUUUGAUUUUAUUUUGUUGGUUUCUAGGAUCGACGUAAUGAUUAAUAGGGAUAGUUGGGGGCAUUAGGAUUCAAUUGUCAGAGGUGAAAUUCUUGGAUUUAUUGAAGACUAACUACUGCGAAAGCAUUUGCCAAGGAUGUUUUCAUUAAUCAAGAACGAAAGUUAGGGGAUCGAAGACGAUCAGAUACCGUCGGAGUCUUAACCAUAAACUAUGCCGACUAGGGAUCGGAUGAUGUUAAUUUUUUAAUGACUCAUUCGGCGCCUUAC